GGUUUAUCAAGUAAAAUUUUCAGAACGUAAAUUUGAGAAUGAGUUCACAUACCUUUAGAAAUGCCUAAAACAUGUGUUAGCAAACUAGAUGUUUAAUGAAAAUAGCGUGGAUAUUGUCAUCCUGCAAUUACUACCACGAUGUCCGACAUGGUCCUGUUUGAUCUUAAACGACCAGAAGACAUAUGUGCUGGAUAGUUCAGCUUCUGCUACCUGAAGACAUAUGUGCUGGAUAGUUCAUUUGAAGAUUAAGUGAAACUCAAAAUGGCGACAGGAGGAGGACCAUCUAUAGAAGAAGAAGAACAAAACUUCACACGAAUACAAAGAGCGCUGUCGGACUGUGGUAUUGCUGUGCUUAAGGAGCUGUUCUUGCAGAGAGUUCGUGAUCUCUCACCUCGAAACCAACCAAAUGGAUGUUGGACAGUUGAUGGGUUUUUGAAUGAAAAUAUGAACAUAAUUAUGCGUUCUAUUGGAAAUGACAAACACAAGAAGAGCAUAUUGUACCCUUUCGGACAAAAGACAGACUUAGACAAAUGGGAUAUUCGACUCUUUGCCCUUGUUCUUCUUGAGUCAUGUGGUAUCUCAACAGUAGGUGGUACACUUCGCCAUGAUAUAACAAACUUAUGCAACCUUAGUAAUAAGAUGUCCUAUAUACAUCCCAAAUUAUCGGCAGGGAUUUAUAAUGGCUACCUUGGACGUGUUCGUGGUUCAAUCAACCGUAUAUGUGUUUUUUUGAACAUUAACACAAUUCGUGAACGAAACAUUAGAUAAGUAUGAGAGUUUAACACAUGCGUAUCCAAAUGGCAUGUUGAAAGAACAUUUGAAAAACAUCGACAUCGUUUCUGAUGGUAAGCUUAUGAAUGCAGUUCAAUGAAUAAUAAAGUAUUCGUUUGGAUAAUGUGUGUUCAUCUAAGUCAUUAAGGUAUUCAAAAGUGAUUGUUACUGCGUAUAGGACAUGACCUGCUGUUUGACAUUAACGAAUAUAACCAAACACGUUGAGCAUUUUCCUGUUCACAGAAUGCAUUAUUAUUCAAUGGCUAUUUACAUAUAUGGUUGGGAUGGUUUCUGUUAAAUAAUUGUACGAGAGAGUAAGUCUUGAAAUUACUUUUUGCAUUAAGUAAAUGGCCAUUGUUGCAGUAAGUUAGAGAAAUAAAACUUGCACGGACGGA